UACGAAGGGGGCUAGCGUUGCUCGGAAUCACUGGGCGUAAAGCGCACGUAGGCGGAUCUUUAAGUCAGGGGUGAAAUCCUGGAGCUCAACUCCAGAACUGCCUUUGAUACUGGGGAUCUCGAGUCCGGGAGAGGUGAGUGGAACUCCGAGUGUAGAGGUGAAAUUCGUAGAUAUUCGGAAGAACACCAGUGGCGAAGGCGGCUCACUGGCCCGGUACUGACGCUGAACAGCGAAAGCCAGGGGAGCAAACGGG
rnacentral:rRNA from 1 species